CCGAAUUGUUGGCAAACUAACCUAAAGGUUAGGACGCAAAGUUUCCGGUCUAAGGUUUUACUUGUUAAAACUACGAUAGCGGGGCUGCUGCA
rnacentral:ncRNA from 1 species